rnacentral:rRNA from 1 species
AUCAUUCACAAUGGGCGAAAGCCUGAUGAUGCGACGCCGCGUGGAGGACGAAGGCCUUCGGGUUGUAAACUCCUGUCAGGGAUUAGGAAUUUGACCAGUCCCAGAGGAAGCACCG